CAGUUGUAAUUCCCGCUGGGGUCUGUGGGGGGCACCGGCAUAUAAGGCUUGUCCUUGUCAAUUGCCCCCUCGCGGAUAUCCUCGGUAAUUCUGAGGCUAAUACGAGUGCUGCCCGCAAGGGCCAGCCAGGGGGUGGGGGCUCUUCGGGGCCCGCCCUCCUCGUGCAGCUACAGGGCAGGAGGAUCGCACCAUGGUACCCGCCCCCCUCACGGGGGGGGAGAGGGUCAGGUGCUUUUCGAAUCCCCGUGACUGGAAGCAUGAGCAGUCCCACGCUUCGGCGUGGGCGCCCAGCUUCUUAGCUUCUGACCAUCACCCCUGACGCAUGCGUAAGGGGCCUGCGUAGGUACAACGGGUACAGAGGAUCAGGGUUUGAUCCUGGAGAGUGGGCCUGAGAGAUUGCUCACACUUCUWAAGGAAGGCAAGCAGG
rnacentral:rRNA from 1 species